rnacentral:lncRNA from 1 species
CUCUAGCGUUAAAUCCCCAACUGCCUUCUUUCCAUCCGUUGGACGAGGUACCUAACAUUGAAGAUGAUGAUGGUGACUCAAAGAGAUCAAGGGUGAAGUAUCUAGGUUUAUUCUACGAACAACACCAGAUUUCACUCUUCUCUUCCCCUUCCUUUCUUCCAGCAGUUGACCGGCAAGUCAUUAAGUAGUGUGACUUAGAUGGUUCAAUAGUUUAACUGUUCGAGUCACCGGUUUGAGCAGGAUUCAGUCUCUUAAACUUUGGAAUGACUGGACCCAUAAAGCCUGGCAGAUGAUGGGUUGAUUGGGUUGAGAGGAGCAGAUUGACUAGGUCUCCAAACACUGCUCCAAACUAACUAGGUCCUGCUUUAUGCAGACUCAUUCACCAAGCAUUCCUACUUAAAUUAAUUAAAAAAUAAAGUGAUGCAUAUUAGAAUGCCCAUGCGUUCUAUUGAAAUUAAUGGCAAAGUGAUGGAGCAUUAGGUCUUAUGAAUUAAUUAAAACUUUAUUUCUUGAGUCCUACAUUUCAUUAUCUUGUAAGAUCAAAUCAAGGUUUUGACUAUUGAUCGAUUUUGGCCCUUACCAAUGAAGAAAUGGCACUUGGACUUGGAACACCAUGCAUGCCCGGUUCGAGGAAACAUGGCUGAACCAAAGGGUAUUGCUCAAUUCAAUUGGCACUCAAGAUAUACUGACAGCCAGUUACAAGUAUUGAGUCAACAAAGGUAUUCCAACUUUCUUUCCUUCCUUCCCAUUUCACCCAUUCCACUUUUUUAACCCACUUCAUUUAGAGUUGAAGCAAGAGUGAGGGAAUUUUGCUCCCAUCCGGCGAACUCAAAGCAGUUUUUUUGGUUGAACUAAAACAAAGAAACACAUCAAUCCAAGAUAGUCAACGGUGCACACUAUCUCUAUUUAAUUUUAUUUCAAUGUAACACGGGCUAAGAAAUUAUCAUAUAUUGAAAAAACUUGCUAGAAUACUCUGCUCAGUUUAUUCUCAAAUAUGUUCUAGUUUUAACACCAACCUAUUUUCCAAAUUUCUUCUUGUUAAUAUUAAUUUGUGCAUAAAAUAAUUAGUCAAAAUAAAAGAAAAGUUAUUUCUUAAAAAUAAAAAAUAAAAAUAAAGAGUAGCAUCCUUGCAGCAUGGAUGUCCAUACGCCUACUAGAGCAUGCUCCCAUUGCAUUAAUUUUGGGCACAUAAGGGACUACCUGAAUCUAUGCCCAUAAUUAUGUAAUUUUAGAACCACCCAAUCAAAACUAACCCUAAACUAACCUCAUUCCCAACAGCAUUUGUAUAAACAAGAAAAUAUGCCAGCUGGUAUGCUGACACCAACUACCGUACCAUGUUUGCACCAUACCAUAUUGGCAUCAGUAUCAAGAUUUUAAAUGGUGGACCAAGUACAAUCUUAGUUGAUUCAAUUUAUUGGUGGAACAAGAUAAAGUCAAGUUGUUGGCUUGUUG